rnacentral:rRNA from 1 species
AUUGAACGCUGGCGGCAUGCUUUACACAUGCAAGUCGGACGGCAGCACAGAGAAGCUUGCUUCUUGGGUGGCGAGUGGCGAACGGGUGAGUAAUAUAUCGGAACGUACCGAGUAAUGGGGGAUAACUAAUCGAAAGAUUAGCUAAUACCGCAUAUUCUCUGAGGAGGAAAGCAGGGGACCUUCGGGCCUUGCGUUAUUCGAGCGGCCGAUAUCUGAUUAGCUAGUUGGUGGGGUAAAGGCCUACCAAGGCGACGAUCACUAGCGGGUCUGAGAGGAUGAUCCGCCACACUGGGACUGAGACACGGCCCAGACUCCUACGGGAGGCAGCAGUGGGGAAUUUUGGACAAUGGGCGCAAGCCUGAUCCAGCCAUGCCGCGUGUCUGAAGAAGGCCUUCGGGUUGUAAAGGACUUUUGUCAGGGAAGAAAAGGCUGUUGCUAAUACCGACAGCUGAUGACGGUACCUGAAGAAUAAGCACCGGCUAACUACGUG